rnacentral:rRNA from 1 species
UGGCUCAGGACGAACGCUGGCGGCGUGCCUAACACAUGCAAGUCGAGCGAUGAAAUCCUUCGGGAUGGAUUAGCGGCGGACGGGUGAGUAACACGUGGGUAACCUGCCUUGUAGAGGGGGAUAGCCUUCCGAAAGGAAGAUUAAUACCGCAUAACAUCUUUUUAUCGCAUGGUAGAAAGAUCAAAGGAGUAAUCCGCUACAAGAUGGACCCGCGGCGCAUUAGCUAGUUGGUGAGGUAACGGCUCACCAAGGCGACGAUGCGUAGCCGACCUGAGAGGGUGAUCGGCCACAUUGGAACUGAGACACGGUCCAGACUCCUACGGGAGGCAGCAGUGGGGAAUAUUGCGCAAUGGGGGAAACCCUGACGCAGCAACGCCGCGUGAAUGAAGAAGGCCUUAGGGUUGUAAAGUUCUGUUUACGGGGACGAUAAUGACGGUACCCGUGGAGGAAGCCACGGCUAACUACGUGCCAGCAGCAGC